GGACAUGAUUAAUUUGACGUAUUUUAGCGUAUUUUGACCUCGGUACACUUGAUAAUUACUCUAAAAAUAUUUACAGUAGUAGAAACUCAUGAUUCAUUACUAGGGAUGUGAAGCCAUCGGAAUGGCAUCAUCAACAAUAGAGGAAGCAUUCCUAAAGGAAGCUGUGAGAAGAAGAAUUGGAGGAGAAGGGAACGCGGAAGCCGACGAGGAGGUGAAUGUUACCGAGACCGGAGAGGAAAGGAACGACGCCAACGAGGAGGAAAGCAGUCUGGGAGAUCCGGCCAUCGUCGUUGUCGAAGGAGGACGAUUUGGGGAGAAACGUAGGAGGAGUAACCGGGCGACCGACCCGACGGACUACCCGAGACCUAAAUUAUAAUUAUUAUUAAGUGGGUAUUUUAUAGUUUAUGUUUUUUAAAUCGGUUUAUUGAGUCGGUUUUAUUUUAUUAUAUAAGAGUUGUCCUGUCAAAAUUAAAGGGAUAUGAAAAUCAAACUUAAAUCUUGUUCUUCUUUGGAAGCAGAGAAACUCCGACGAACCCACAUUUCAGUUGAGAGAACCCAACUCUGAUCCAACUCGCCUCCUCCCCAACCUUCACCCGUCUAUCAUCUCCGCUAUUAUCAUGUACUCAAACUGUUGUUCACGUCCUGUUGUUCUGCAGGCCCGCUUCCAGCCAACUACAACUCCGAUCAGCAUCACGUCCGACGACCAACCCGUCUUUGUUCUUCGUCAUGUCUGGCAAACGAAUAGCCCUUGCGUUCUAUCGUUCCAGGGACAGUUGAUCUGUUCCAGGAUAAUAAUGGGUUUGGUUGCCGUUUAUUUAUAAUAUUAUAUUAAAUAAUGAAAAGAUUAGUUGGAAGAGGAAAGAAAGCAUUGGCAAAAGAAAGUCAGCUAUAAAAAGAACAAGUACACGGAGGAGUUCUACGACCGGAAGAGCCUUAAAACAAAAACUUAGACUCGCUAUUACAGGUUGUAGAAAAUAUACAAAAGCAGGUGAAUCAGCUAGUAAAAAAAAUAGUCUCACCCUCGACCAGUAAGAAAUCCAUUCCACUCUCAGAACAAGAAAAGCACCUAGAUAACCCGACCCAGAAAACUAUAGAAAAUCCUAAGUUCAAAGAUCCCACAAGCCACAGGAACCUUAGCUGCACACAUGACAGAGGGCAAGUACUCGAAAAAGUGGAUAAGGUGGGCCAAAACUAUCAGAAUAUAAAAAAGCACCUUUGACCCAAAAAACGACAUAGAAAUCCUACUAGGAGUCAAACAAAGAGAGAGUAAAAUCCUAAGAGAUUGUAUCAAGAGGUUCAACGAAACCCUUUAAAAAGUAGCAAAAUCCGAUGAGGAUUGAGGCUCACCAGGUUCCUUCUAAAAAUCACCACAAACUACCCAAGACCUUGGCCGAGCUGAUGAAAAGGGCUUAUAAAGCAAUGGAUACAGAAGAUAUGAUGGAGGAAAGGCUCAAAGAAUACAGGACCAACAAAAAUAAGUUUCAACCUGCAAAUUGUAGUCAGCACAUCAACAAUCAAAGAAACACGACACUACCUCCACCGCCUACCGAUCGAACCUGGGAAUUUACAAAAAAAAAAUCAAAAAGAGGUAUUUUUAAACUUGAAAAGUAGAGAUAUCAUAAAAACUCUGAGACAAGAAUAUUUAAGAAGAUAUUGGCAGAAGCUAUUUUGCAAGUCAUCUAUAGUCAAAGAUAUUUUUUAACCCAAAUUUCUACCAUAAGAUGGAAAGAUAAUAAAUUUCUUUAUGUUUUCAUUUGGACAUUGGUUUAUCAAUCUAUAAUUUUUAUUGCAGCGAUCCUAAAAAUCGGAUGAAUGUUAUAUAUACGAAGAGGCUUUUGCAAAUGUUCUUGAUAUGCUUAUUGUCGAUGAUACCAAAUUAAAGGUUAAGGUAUUUGGAGACAUGUGCAUUUAUAAGAAUAAAGAAGGAAGAUUUGGAUCUCCAUAAGCAAAUUCAAUGGUUGGAACACACAAACCAUUGGAAUUGUGGCUUUUAUUUGCAAUUUCAUAGAAAAAGUCAAAAUAAGUUUGGUGUGGUUCGACUAGAUAACCUUGUCUAAUCCUAGUCUACGAUGACAAGCUACGAUGUUACAGUAAUUGAAGCAAUCCUAGUCUAAUCUCCAGUAAUUGAAGAAGCAUUUAAUAAUUCACCAGAGAUUAAAAAGCUAAUUGAAGCAGAUUCCGGUCAACAUCUGAUUUAGAAGAGUCUGAAGAAAUUACAGGUUCUGUCCAAGCAGAAGAAAUUACAGAGGAAGAAGAGUGUUAUUGAUGAGAAAAAAGGAUUAGAAGAAAAUCGUCCUAUCAGAGUCCGACGUAUGCUAGAGAGGUACAAUGAUUUCCACAUGUCGACCAAGUAAGUAAAAUAGGAAUUAAUAUAUUGUAAUUUGUAAUUUCACAUCUUCAGUUAGUUGCCUUUUCCAUUUUCGCACAACUUUUUUCGCGCCACAUUUUACAUGGCGGAUGUCCGCCAUCUUAUAAUUUUCAGUCCCGCGAAAUUUUUCAGAUUAGAUGGCGGAAAUCCGCCAUUUAUAUUUUUUUGGUGGAAAAUGAGGAUGAACAAUAGAUAACGGUCUUUAGAUGACAGUUAUGAAGUUAUAAUGGCGGUGGUCGUUAUGGCGGUCUUUAGAUGGCGGAUUUCCGCCAUUGAUCCACCAUCUAAAGACCGCCAUACAAGGUCUUAUUUCUUGUAGUGUCAGUUAGUAGUCUUUAACUUCUACACAAACAUGUAACUCCCUAUAUAUAGGGCACCUCAUGUAAUUUUGAAGGCUAUCAAUAAAGUUCAAAGAAUUUCCCUAUGGAAUCAGAGGGUCAUUUAUUGCGCUUUCUCAUUUUUUUUCCAGAAUUUGAUUUUCAUUCAUCCUGUCUCGUUACGAAUUCAUCUCCAAGACUCCUCCAUGGUUCUUGUGUGACAAGUUCCGUCUCCGUUCUCAUCUUCAUUCUAGAGCAUCAAAUUUUAUCACGGAUUCUUCAUAGCUACUUAUACGACCGAAAUCAAAUCUCUACUGUGAAGCAAUAUCACCUGUAGUUUUGGUGUGUCCCAGAUCCGAGAAUUAACUCACGGAUUUCCAAAACAGAGUACGGCGGAGCUAGACUCCUGAUAUUGAGUCUUAGCGUCCAAAAUCAUUUGUUGUUAAGCAGAUUUGGUCAAGGCUCAAUUCGGUAACGGAAGGAAAAGGAUGAUCGUCUAGCGAGAUCAGAAACGCAAGGAUCGGAUGGGGUGACCGGACGAGCACGAGAUGGGAUGGCCGUACUCGACAGUUUGUCGGAAUGUGAUCGGGAUCGGGAGGAGAAUUGAUUUACUUUAUUGAAAAUUAAUUAAAAUGUUUUACAACCCAAAUUCUUUUUAACCUAUUACAACAUUUAAUAAAAAUGAAAUUACUUAGGUCCUUUUAUCAAUAUUCCCCAUAACUUGAAUUAGGGUAAAAUCCCUAAUUGGAAAUCACGCGUCCAGAUGAGCACACGACUCACUCGCGAGCUUCUUCGGAUUGAACCCGGUCCGACGUCGUUGAACGAACUUCGCUCGUCGUCGGCAAUUUCCAGUUCUCGAUUUAGGUCACCGGCGAUCCCUAUCUCUCUGAUCUUCUCAACGUCUGCUUCUAUGCCAACCUUGUCAACUUGCAUCACAUCAUCACCUACCUGUUCAAAUUCGACAUUGCCCUCAAUGUUGAUAGAAGGGAAAUGCUCAUACACAUCAUCUUCAAACUCCAAUGAUGAGUCCUCUGGAAUCGUUCCACUCCAUUUGAUGAGUAAUUGUUUCUUUCCUUUGCCUCCUUGCUGAAUUGUUCUUCUACCUAAUAUAUAGAUAGGAUGUAUUAUAGGAUUAUUGCUCACAGAUAUUAAUGGUUGAUUUUUGCUCUCUUGCUCUGCAUUUGUUCCACAUAAUUUCUUCAAUUUAGACACAUGAAAAGCUGGAUGUAUUUUACAGCCUUCAGGAAGCUUGAGUCUUUUAGCCACUUCGUUAAUUUUUUUGCUUACUUCACAAGGACCGAAGUAUUUUUUACAGAAUUUGUUGUGCAAUCUCUGAGCCACCGAACCUUGUCUAUAUGGUUUUAUUUGGACUAAAACCCAAUCAUGCUCCUUGUAUGAUACCUCUGAUCUUUUUUUAUCGGCCUGAUUUUUCAUUCUACUCUGUGCCAUAUUCAGAUUUUUCUUUAUUUUUUCUAAGGUCUAGCUCUUCUUUGAUUUGUAACAUUUUAUCUACUGCUUGCACUGAUGAUUCACCCUCCUUGUAGUGAGGUAUCUCAUUUGCCCCCUUCCAUAAAGCACUUUGUAUGGUGUUAAGCCCAAGAUAAAUGAAAACUUGAGUUAUACCAUAACUCUGCCCAAUGCAACAAUUUUAGCCAUAAACUAGGAUUUUAUGGCAAUAUGAUCUUAGGUACAUUUCUAGGGUCAUGUUGACUACCUCAGUCUGUCCAUCUGAUUGUGGAUGAUAAGCUGAUGAGAAAUUAAGUUUAGUGCCACUAAGCUUGUUCAAUUCUUUCCAAAAUCGUGAUGUAAAAACUCUUUGUCUGAUACAAUUGAGGUAGGAAUACCAUGCAGUUUCACUAUGUCCUGAAUAAAUAGUUCAGCCACUAUAGAUGCAUUAAAAUUUGGGGGAAGUGGGCUAAAAUGGGAAUACUUGGAUAAUCUAUCCACCACUACAAUAAUUACUGAUUUUCCCCUUGCUUUGGGAAGUUCAGUUAUAAAAUCCAUGCUAAUAUCUUGCCAAACAUUUGAGGGUAUAGGAAGUGGCAUCAAUAAGCCUACCAUUUUAGUAUUUGAACAUUUUACCUGUUGGCACGCUAAACAUUCUUUCACAUAUUUUUUUAUUUGUACGCUCAUAUUUGGCCAAAAGAAGUAUUUGGCAACCCUUUUACAGGUUCUAUGAAUUCCAAACUAUGAGUCAUGUGUUGGAUCGAGAUCCGAGGCUAUAAGGGGGAUAAUAGCCUCUUUUCGAUUUAUGCAGAUUAAUAACGGAAUUACCUGCACACAUUUAAGUACAUAAAUGGUUGUAUAAUAAUAAUAGUAUAAUAUUGUUAGCAAUAUAAUACUAUUAUAUGAUUUUAAAUAAUAUAAUAUUAUAUCUUAUAAUAUUAUAUAUAUUGGACUUGCCUUUUGCUCUUGAAGUUUACUACAGUAUGUGAAUACGUAGUCAACUUUUCAGAUGGUGUUUUAUAAACAACUAUAGUAUAUGAAUACUAAGUUAUAUUAUAAACACAAGUUAUAUUAUAGAGUAAAUGACCAGAUAACUGGAUAUAUAUUUGAUAAGCAAGAUAUGACCAGAUAAUUGGAUAUAUAUAUGAUAAGUAAAUGCUUGAACAAAUAUAUGAAUAAAGAUUUAAAGCAAUGAAUAUAACCUCAGAUAGUUGACCAGAUAACUGGAUGAGGGAUCUGCGUAAAGUAGUCAACCUCUGUAUUUGACCAGAUAACUGGAAGAGAGAUCCUUUUCAAUUAAGUGUUGUUUAGUUGUUUUUAGAUGAAAGAUAAAAACUAAAGUUAACAAAGAACAACACAAGAGAUUUAUACUGGUUCAUCCAAACAAGGGCUAAUCCAGUCCCGAUCAACUGUCGGAAUUCACUCGCCUAAAGGUUAUGGCAAAAUCUUAGAGUAUCAAGGAAACUCUUAAGAACCUCUCUAAGCUUUAAGGCUACUUCGCUUAGAAACCAGUCUUUUACGGGUAGACUCAAACCUUAGAGUAUCAAGGGCACUCUUAAGAACCUCUAACUUUUGCGGGUAAGUUAGUACCUUAGAGUAUCAAGGAACUCUUAAAAACCUCUCUAAGCUGUAAGGCUAACUUCGCUUAGGAACCAGUCUUUUACGGGUAGACUCACACCUUAGAGUAUCAAGGGCACUCUUAAGAACCUCUAACUUUUGCGGGUAAGUUAGUACCUUAGAGUAUCAAGGAACUCUUAAAAACCUCUCUAAGCUGUAAGGCUAGCUUCGCUUAGGAACCAGUCUUUUACGGGUAGACUCACACCUUAGAGUAUCAAGGGCACUUUUAAGAACCUCUAACUUUUACGGGUAAGUUAGUACCUUAGAGUAUCAAUGAACUCUUAAAAACCUAAAAAUCUUUCAAGGUAGAUUCGACCUAAGAGUUUUCCCGGAAACUCUAUAAAACCAAACUAGAGCUUUAUGGUUGAGCUCGAAAACCUUCUCUCACACUUUGGUACUAUUGAGACAACUCUCUCAACCAAAGUGGACACACACAAGAGGUGAUUAAAGGAGUGGAAUAUUAAAGAAAACAACACUUCUUACUUGUAAAGAUGAACAAGAAUAUUAGAAGAAGAAGUUGGAGAACUUUUGAAGCUUUGGAAAGCUAGGACACUUGAGCACUUGAAAGCUUGGAGGCAAAAACGUGUGGGCAAGUGUGGAGUGAAAGCUCUUGAGUUUGCUUGUAG
rnacentral:lncRNA from 1 species